ACUAGCCUACCCAAUUUUAUCCCUUGGAAAUGCUUUUGGUUGCAAGAAAUAGAAUACUCAGCUAACAUUAGCUUUUGACAAAAGAGCAUUUAUUGUUUAUGCACAACCAUUUCAGACACAGGCAGUCUAUGUCAUCUCAACAGCAUAAACAAGGACCCAGGCUCCAACAUCAUCUUCAUCAUCUUUAGCAUCUUGAUCCUCACGACCGCCACCUGAGGCCACAAGAUAGCUACUGCAACUCCAGGUGUCACACAACUAUUAAAGGCAGAAAGAAGGAAGGAGUUGGCAUCAAAUGCUCCUGUUACUUAUGUCAAGAAAGCAAAAGAUUUUCCAGAAAAUCCCUAGCAGACAUCUCCUUUGCUUUCAUGGUCUAGAACUCUGUCAUGUGAGAACUUCCAGCUCCCAGGGAAGCUUUCUAACCUCUAGGUGGGAGGCAGCAAGGGAGAUCCCACAGUUCUUUGAUGUGCCACCCUGAUGAGAGUAUAUUCCCUAGUGUUGCUUUCCUGAGAGCGAGGAUGAGGAGCCAAUGAGUAGCUUUUGAUAAAGAGGGAGGAAAAAGCCCUGAAAAAAUUUAGGCCUUCUCCUCGGAGGUUAGACAGGGGUGGAUAUAAUAUGAAGACCCUAGACACCAUGAGUCUCAGGGCUCUGAGGUUUGGAGUACUGAACAGAGGACUGUGAAGGUCUGGAAGCUUGCAUUGUGUUUUGUCUAGCUUUGUUAUUCUCAAAACUUAAGGGUGUAUCUAGGGCAGACUCCCCACCUGUUCAGCUAGCUGGAGCAUCAGGGGUUCUAAUGUGUGUUUAACUCGGUGGAGCCCCAGAAAGCCUGACAGUGAUAUCCUCUUCUUUCCUCCUUCUCCCAAGGGGCUCUGGAACCUCUAGGUGCCCAGACCUGUGCAAUGUAUAGGUGUUGCUGAGUCCUGUAAAUGACACUAUUUUACCUCCUCCCAGGAGCUUCACUACUUUCUGACCCCAUUGAAGUGGCCAUAUAGGUUCUUCCCAUUCCUGAACAACUGUGCCUGUGGAAUCUUGAUAAAAUAGGACAUUAUUUUUUCAUAAUAAGCAUAGCUAUCAUUUACUGACUUAUAGCAAAACAGUUCAGAGAUGACCAGCCCAGAGUUACACAGCGACAGAGUCAAGAUUCCACCCAGGUCAGCCUGAUUCCACUGGCCUUACCUUUCUCUUUUCUUUUUUCUUUUCUUUUCUGUUCUUUUCUUUUCUUUUCUCUUUUCUUCUUUUCUCUUCCUUUCCCUUCCCUUCCCUUCUCUUUUCUUUUUUCUUUCCUUUUCUUUUUUUUUUUUUUUUUAACAAGGUCUCACUCAGCACCUAGGCUGGAAUGCAGUGACGUGAUCUCUGCUCGUUGUAGUCUCAACUUCCCGGGCUCAAGUGAUCCUUCCACCUCAGCCUCCCAAGCAGCUAGGACUACAGGCGCACACCACCACACCAGGCUAAUUUUGUUUGUUUUUGGAGAGACAAGGUCUCACUAUGUUGCCCAAACUGGUAUUGAACCACUGGGCUCAAGCAAUUCUGACUUGACUUCCCAAAGUGCUGAGAUUAUAGCUGUGAGCCACCGCACCCUGUCAACCUUAUCUUUCUUGUUGCAGCAGUCUGACUUCUGAGUGGUUUUCCUAGACUUUGUGCAAUAUCCAGCACACAAUAUAUGUGUGGGAUUGCUAAUUUCCUCCACUGGUUUAUUUCUAUCUCCUGGUUCCUGAAGAACUCAACUUUUUGUAUAAAAAGACUUAUAUCCUCAAUACCUUUGAGAAUAGUGGCUAGAACCUAGUAAUGCACAUGUGUGGAAGGGCUGUUACAUAAAGAAGUUUCUCAUUUCCCAGGCUUUCUAGAUAUUUGGACUAACAGAAAAAAAUGGGCCUGUCUACAUGUGGGUCUGUCAUUCUUAGAGAUUAUUAACUUAAUUACCUAUUUUUAUAGUGAAAGGCUGAGACUAGGGGAGAUGAAAUGUUAUGUCCAAAGCUCAUACAGCCAAUUCAGGAAGGACCUCUACUCUAGCCCCUCAAGCAGGUGCAGCCAGAACAAACACCUCCUUCCUAUAUGAAGCUACGGAGGUGACAAGUAAACCUAAAUGUUUUCAGGUCGGAUCGUAACAUCCACAGGUGGAUCCCAGUUUACUGUUGGGGGACUUUGCCUCACUUAGUGAAACUGUAAAGAAAUCUAGCUUUCUUUUGGAGUAAAACAUCAGGUUGAAUCACAGUUUUACCGGAAACUAGCUUGAUGCUCUUGGGUAAGUUGUUUAAUCUGAUUAGGUCGCUGUGUUUUUUGCUGUAAAGUGGAAAAAUGAAAGUGUUUACCUUGUGCGAUGGCUAUGAGGAGUAAAUGAAGAACUUGACGUAAAGUGUUUUAGCACAAACACAUACCCAGAGUGAGCAUUCAAUACAUUGUAGUUAUAGUCAUUACAGUCAUAAUUAGAUUUUUUUCUAAUUAUUGGUGUGCUGAAGAAUAUUUGACUUUGUCACUUUCCCACGUUGUUUUACUUCUUGCUGUGGAAGGGGCUCUGCAGCUGCAGAAGGUCACUGACGUCUGAGGUUUGGUUUUGCCCUUCUCCUCUGUCUCUUCUGACACAUUCUUCUGCCUGUUUCUGUCCUUCCAACCCUCCCGGAACCUUCCACUUGGCCCAGAUGAGCAGCUUGCUGGGUCACAGGGCUGGCCUGCCGGAAUGCCCUGACAUUCUGCUGUUGAAACAGGUGACCCUUCAUUACUCCUGGGCAGAGGCUGGCCUGUCAGUCAGCUGGUAAUUAACAGAGUCUGGAUAUGAGUUGCCAGAGAAAGGGCUCUGGCCACUGCCUCCCACACAAUGCUUUUCUGGUGUGCUACAGCUGGUAAAGCCAAUGGUUAAAUAUCCAGGAAUUUGGCAAGCCAGCUGUUAAGCUGCUGAAUAUCCAGGAAUUUUGUGAGCCACUUGUCAAACUGUUGGUAGCUUGAAAUCAAUCGUGGUGGGAGUCUUUAUGCCAUGGAAAUAUCAGCAGACACUACAAAUCACCAUACUGUCUCACCCUGCAGCGCAUUUACCAGCACAUCAUUGAGCAAACUGUCUUCUCCUAAAACUCACUAACUGAGGGAAACACUACAGGAUUCUGGGCUUGACAUGUGGUUAACACCCACAUUUUAAGAAAAUUAAUUCUUUUAGUUAUAAAAGUAAUACAAGCUUGUUAUGAAACAUUGAAAUAAUACAGGACAAAAAACCUGAAAAGUAAAGGUCUCUGUCCAUUUAUCCCUCCUCGUUGCAGAGAUAUCCACUCAUUUCUGUUUGUUUCUCUCUUGAACUCUUUUGUAGAGAUAGAAAAAUCGUUAUUUUAUAUGUCUACUGGUUUACUGGAUGGGGCUGAACUUGAAAGAAGAAACCACUUUAUUUUUCUCUUACCUCUGCUCCUGCUAUCCAUCAUGUUACAUAGAAUCCCUCUGACUUGCCCCUGAGGACUGGCUUGAGCAGACACAAUAGCUUUCUGGCCAUUUCUAGGCAUUGGAAAAAUAGUGCAGUCCAGUUCAAUUUAAAACUUGAAUCUCACAUCCAUUUCAAAGCUCCUCUCAUCCCCCAAUCUUAGGCCUGAACUGUGGCUCAGAAACCUGUAGUGGGAAAGCUGUGGGGUCGCUCAUUCUCCUUCUAUCUCCUCCCACUUAGGGCAGAGAAAGAUACAUAAAGCUCUUUUUAUUUAGGGGCUGCCCUCUGUAGCUCUCUCUUUGCUUGGUGGUUGACCUACACACCCUCUAGGAUGGCAGCAAGUUCUUGGGAGGUCUAUCACCUGGAGUCUUCUAAUUGCUGUUUCCUCCUGGCUGACCUCUUGUAACCCUUCCUCAAGUCCAGCCCCUACAGGUACAAUCUACAGCCACUUACUGGUGGUGUCCCAUCUCCAAGCAGGCAGCCUUCUUGGGUUGAAUCUCAUCAAAACAGCUUUAGUGUUGCUACUUCCCACAACAUCCACUUGGCUCUCGGGAAAUUCAGGCAUCUUUGACCUACCAAAUGGUAGGAGUACAGCUUACCCAUCGGCCGACCCCUCUCUUCCCACCUUCUAUCAUGUGUGGCUCCAGCCAAAGGAAGAGGGCAGGUCUAUUCAAGGGA
rnacentral:lncRNA from 10 species